rnacentral:rRNA from 1 species
UUGACCUCGGAUCAGGUAGGGAUACCCGCUGAACUUAAGCAUAUCAAUAAGCGGAGGAAAAGAAACCAACAGGGAUUGCCCCAGUAACGGCGAGUGAAGCGGCAAGAGCUCAAAUUUGAAAUCUGGCCUCCUCCGGGGGUCCGAGUUGUAAUUUGCAGAGGAUGCUUCGGGUGCGGCCCCCGUCUAAGUUCCUUGGAACAGGACGUCAGAGAGGGUGAGAAUCCCGUCUUGGGCGGGCGGCCCGCGCCCGUGUGAAGCUCCUUCGACGAGUCGAGUUGUUUGGGAAUGCAGCUCUAAGCGGGUGGUAAAUUUCAUCUAAAGCUAAAUAUUGGCCGGAGACCGAUAGCGCACAAGUAGAGUGAUCGAAAGGUUAAAAGCACCUUGAAAAGGGAGUUAAACAGCACGUGAAAUUGUUGAAAGGGAAGCGCUUGCGGCCAGACUCGGGGGCGGGGUUCAGCGGGCGCUCGUCGCCCGUGCACUCCCCGCGCCCCGGGCCAGCAUCAGUUUCGACGGUCGGUCAAAGGCCCCCGGAAUGUGUCGUCUCUAGGGACGUCUUAUAGCCGGGGGUGCAAUGCGGCCCGUCGGGACUGAGGAACGCGCUUCGGCUCGGAUGCUGGCGUAAUGGCCGUAAGCGGCC